GUGCUGGAGUGGGAAGAUCCCAUGCUGUGGCCCUCUAGAGAAAGCACUUUCUGUUUGUUGUCUGAGGAAAAACAAAGUGCUUCCCUUCAGAGUGUGGCUGUUUGGGAAAUGCCACGUUCAAGAUGG
rnacentral:pre_miRNA from 8 species